AUUGAACUCUGGCGGCAGGCCUAACACAUGCAAGUCGAACGUGUGGCGGACGGGUGAGUAAUGUCUGGGAAACUGCCUGUUGGCGGGGGAUAACUACUGGAAACGGUAGCUAAUACCUCCUACCAUCGGAUGUGCCCAGAUGGUAUUAGCUAGUAGGUGGGGUAACGGCUCCCCUAGGCGACGAUCCCUAUCUGGCCUGAGAGGAUGACAGGCCACACGGGUACGGAGAGACGGGGCAGGCUCCUACGGGAGGCAGCAGUGGGGAGUAUUGCACAAUGGGCGAAACCCUGAUGCAGCCAUGCGGGUUGUAGGAAGAAGGCGUUCGGGUUGUGAAGUGCUUUGAGCGAGGAGGCGUUACCCGGAGAAGAAGCACCGGCUAACUCCGUGCAAGCAGCCGCGGUAAUUC
rnacentral:rRNA from 1 species